UUUGAUUUAGGGACAAUAAAAUUAUCCGAUGAUGAAAGUCGAGUAUUGUACGAUUGUUUACUACUUGUAGGCACAAUAAGAUUGGAUAAAUAUUUUGGUGCCAGUUGGUGUUUUGAUUUAUACAUUAAUAAUGAUUUGUGGUAAAAUAUUCUCUUAGUAACAGGAAUAAUUCCAGAUUCCUUAAAUAGUUCAAUAGAUGGUUUUCGAAUAUCGUGUUCGUUUAAAAUAAUUCUAGCUGCCCUUUUUUUGCAAUUUUAGUAAACUGUCAACUAAAAACUUGUUACAGUUUCC
rnacentral:lncRNA from 1 species